UACGUAGGAUGCAAGCGUUGUCCGGAAUUAUUGGGCGUAAAGAGCGCGCAGGCGGUUUUACAAGUCAGAUGUGAAAGAGGCCGGCUUAACCGGCAAGGGUCAUUUGAAACUGUAAGACUAGAGUGCAGCAGAGGAUAGUGGAAUUCCCGGUGUAGUGGUGAAAUGCGUAGAUAUCGGGAGGAACACCAGUGGCGAAGGCGACUAUCUGGGCUGCAACUGACGCUGAGGCGCGAAGGCUAGGGUAGCAAACAGG
rnacentral:rRNA from 1 species